rnacentral:rRNA from 1 species
GCCCGGGGGCGGCGUGCUAUACAUGCAGUCGAGCGGACGGAUGGGAGCUUGCUCCCUGAAGUCAGCGGCGGACGGGUGAGUAACACGUGGGCAACCUGCCUGUAAGACUGGGAUAACUCCGGGAAACCGGGGCUAAUACCGGAUAACUCUUUUCCUCACAUGAGGAAAAGCUGAAAGAUGGUUUCGGCUAUCACUUACAGAUGGGCCCGCGGCGCAUUAGCUAGUUGGUGAGGUAACGGCUCACCAAGGCCACGAUGCGUAGCCGACCUGAGAGGGUGAUCGGCCACACUGGGACUGAGACACGGCCCAGACUCCUACGGGAGGCAGCAGUAGGGAAUCUUCCGCAAUGGACGAAAGUCUGACGGAGCAACGCCGCGUGAGUGAUGAAGGUUUUCGGAUCGUAAAACUCUGUUGUCAGGGAAGAACAAGUACCGGAGUAACUGCCGGUACCUUGACGGUACCUGACCAGAAAGCCACGGCUAACUACGUGCCAGCAGCCGCGGUAAU